UACGGAGGGAGCUAGCGUUGUUCGGAAUUACUGGGCGUAAAGCGCACGUAGGCGGCUUUGUAAGUUAGAGGUGAAAGCCCGGGGCUCAACUCCGGAACUGCCUUUAAGACUGCAUCGCUUGAAUCCAGGAGAGGUGAGUGGAAUUCCGAGUGUAGAGGUGAAAUUCGUAGAUAUUCGGGAGAACACCAGUGGCGAAGGCGGCUCACUGGAGCUGGUAUUGACGCUGAGGUGCGAAAGCGUGGGGAGCAAACAGG
rnacentral:rRNA from 1 species